GCCCGGGUGGUGAAAUUGGUAGACACAACGGACUUAAAAUCCGUCGGGGAGAAAUCUCCGUACCGGUUCAAGUCCGGUCCCGGGCACCA
rnacentral:tRNA from 2 species